AACGCACCUUGCGCUCCUUGGUAUUCCGAGGAGCAUGCCUGUUUGAGUGUCAUUAAAUUCUCAACCAUUAUCAACUUUUGCUGAUAAUGGCUUGGAUGUGGGGGUCUAUUUUGCUGGCUUCUCAGAUAGUCAGCUCCCCUUAAAUGCAUUAGCCGGUGCCCCGCGUGGACUGUCUAUUGGUGUGAUAAUUAUCUACGCUAUAGACAUCUGCAAUCAUAUGGGUUUGCGCUGCUUCUAACAGUCUGUUGAUUCAGACAAUACAUGACAAUUUGACCUCAAAUCAGGUAGGACUACCCGCUGAACUUAA
rnacentral:misc_RNA from 1 species